UACGUAGGGUGCAAGCGUUGUCCGGAUUUACUGGGUUUAAAGGGUAUGUAGGCGGCUUGCUAAGUCGGGGAUGAAAUGUCGCGGCUCAACUUCGGCGCGGUUUACGAUACUGACCGGCUAGAGCGAGCAUGAGGUAGCUAGAAUGACCGGUGUAGCGGUGAAAUGCGUAGAGAUCGCGAAGAACACCAAUGGCGAAGGCAGGCUGCUGGACAAUAGCUGACGCUGAGGUACGAAAGCUUGGGGAGCAAACAGG
rnacentral:rRNA from 1 species